rnacentral:rRNA from 1 species
ACGAUCGGUAGCCGGACUGAGAGGUUGAACGGCCACAUUGGGACUGAGACACGGCCCAGACUCCUACGGGAGGCAGCAGUGGGGAAUAUUGCACAAUGGGGGAAACCCUGAUGCAGCGACGCCGCGUGGAGGAAGAAGGUCUUCGGAUUGUAAACUCCUGUUGUUGAGGAAGAUAAUGACGGUACUCAACAAGGAAGUGACGGCUAACUACGUGCCAGCAGCCGCGGUAAAACGUAGGUCACAAGCGUUGUCCGGAAUUACUGGGUGUAAAGGGAGCGCAGGCGGGAAGACAAGUUGGAAGUGAAAUCUAUGGGCUCAACCCAUAAACUGCUUUCAAAACUGUUUUUCUUGAGUAGUGCAGAGGUAGGCGGAAUUCCCGGUGUAGCGGUGGAAUGCGUAGAUAUCGGGAGGAACACCAGUGGCGAAGGCGGCCUACUGGGCACCAACUGACGCUGAGGCUCGAAAGUGUGGGUAGCAAACAGGAUUAGAUACCCUGGUAGUCCACACCGUAAACGAUGAUUACUAGGUGUUGGAGGAUUGACCCCUUCAGUGCCGCAGUUAACACAAUAAGUAAUCCACCUGGGGAGUACGACCGCAAGGUUGAAACUCAAAGGAAUUGACGGGGGCCCGCACAAGCAGUGGAGUAUGUGGUUUAAUUCGAC